UGGGGAAUAUUGGACAAUGGACGAAAGCCUGAUCCAGCCAUGCCGCGUGUGUGAAGAAGGUCUUCGGAUUGUAAAGCACUUUAAGUUGGGAGGAAGGGCAUUAACCUAAUACGUUAGUGUUUUGACGUUACCGACAGAAUAAGCACCGGCUAACUCUGUGCCAGCAGCCGCGGUAAUACAGAGGGUGCAAGCGUUAAUCGGAAUUACUGGGCGUAAAGCGCGCGUAGGUGGUUUGUUAAGUUGGAUGUGAAAUCCCCGGGCUCAACCUGGGAACUGCAUUCAAAACUGACUGACUAGAGUAUGGUAGAGGGUGGUGGAAUUUCCUGUGUAGCGGUGAAAUGCGUAGAUAUAGGAAGGAACACCAGUGGCGAAGGCGACCACCUGGACUAAUACUGACACUGAGGUGCGAAAGCGUGGGGAGCAAACA
rnacentral:rRNA from 1 species